rnacentral:lncRNA from 10 species
UGGUCCAAGAAUCACACUUUGAGAACCACUGCUUUUGGCCAAUCUCCAUGAGAGAAAGUUCUCAACCUCUGAUUAUCAGACCCACAAUACGCCCCAGCCUCUGGAGGACACAGAGAGAAUGGAAGUCGUGGAGAAGAAAAGAGAAAAGUCUCAGAGGACCAGGAUAUACCCUCAGGACUAGCACUGUGCCUGCCGUAGAACGGGGCCUGCUCAGUGUUUUUUGGGUUGAGCUGCAUCUUAGAAUGAAAUCCUACAACUGAGAUGGCUAAAGGAAUUAAAAAUGGUAUCUGUAAUGUUAAAUUUCAGACUGCUGCACAAUAUGUCAGUUUUAGGUACUUUUUAAAAGAUGAACAAGUACAAGACUUCAAAGAAGUCUCUCCCUUGUGAAGGGUCCCUUCCGGCUUCACUUUAGAGUCUCUGCACUUUUAGUUCAUCUCAUUUGGGUGUUUCAAGGGAACAGAGAAGCCCUGGUUUAGAUGAUGCAGGGUUUUCUGAUGCCAAAGUGAGAAUGAUAAAAUGUCUGAAGGAAGAACACGAUGCUAUGCAUUCCAGGCAGAAUCUGGACUUGAAAACAAUGAAGCACAAAUACUUUUAGAUGAACUGAUUCACUUUUAUUUUGUAAACAUCCUAGAAGAAUUCCAUUUGCACUGAACUGUUUGAAUCACUGCAGAGCUCUUGCUCCUUCUAAUCCCCAAGGAAAGUCGAUCCAUCGCGUCCUGCUACACUGUAUUUCUUCACUUUGCCCCUUUUCUCAAUUCUUUGUGAUCAGCAUAAAGUUUGAACCGUGCCUCUUCUCGCCUUCCUGCCUGGCCACCUGUCCAGCCCUGCGGUCAGCUGUACCGACCAGCAGACGGUGCCUCUCUUGCCAAGUGGAGCCGAUGCUCUGUGACCAUUGUUCGUGGGGCCACACUGCCAUCCCCAUCGUUGCCCCUUCAGGACACUCGUCAACAGCUGUAAGAGGCUUCCCAUCCUCGCCCAUAUAAAAGGAAGGCCUGAAAACACUUCUCGGAGCAUCAGUUCAUAGGUCACCGCAACCGGCCGAACAAUACGCGAUUAUUCAACGGGCUCCAAUUCAUUUUCCUCUGCUCCUCCCCCACCGUUACCCUUGAGAGAAAACUAAUUUGCAGAAAAAUAGCCCCUGCCAGCCAACUUCUUCUCCUAAAUGUAUGCUGACCCCGAAC